UACGGGGGGGCAAGGCGUUGUUCGGAAUUACUGGCGUAAAGGGCUCGUAGGUGGCCAACUAAGUCAGACGUGAAAUCCCUCAGCUUAACCUGGGGAACUGCGUCUGAUACUGGAUGGCUUGAGAUUGGGAGAGGGAUGCGGGAAUUCCAGGUGUAGCGGUGAAAUGCGUAGAUAUCUGGAGGAACACCGGUGGCGAAGGCGGCAUCCUGGGACCAACCACUGACACUGAGGAGCGAAAGCCAGGGAGCAAACGGGA
rnacentral:rRNA from 1 species